UCUUCAUUUUCGUCUAACAAAUAGACAUUUUUUUAAUUUUGCAUCGAACAAAUAGACAUUCUACAACCCCCAGCUGAGAAGCAUUACACUCAGGUAUACAUCCCUUUUGUAGGUGUACAAUAAACUGAGGAUACCCAGAAUAAAACUGUAUCCCAACAACUGUUUUCACAUCAAGCACAAUUGACUGUUCUAUAUCACGACAUUCAGGAGCAGGCUUAUCCUUUCUGCAACUACUCGGAGAAACGACAAUUCAUUUUCAGGCCUGAGGUCAGCUUUUCAGAUUUGAUCACGUGCGAGAUAACUUGGCAUCACAAUGAGAGAAAUAGAUGAUGCCCCUGUACUACCUCAUGUAUUGCCUUCAGGCAUACCUGAUGUAUUGCCUUCAGGCAAUAACACAAUGUACUAAAUUGGUUCACAUAAUUUAGAGAAAGAUAAUCCACACAAUGAGCAGAAGUAAAAUAUGGACGCUAAUAUAUAAUGCAGCUUAAAGUUGACAUGUUGGUAGUGUCCAGUAUACUGAAGUUGAUAGUUUCUUGACUCCUACAUAUGACACUGGAUUGCUUCUAGUCAAUUAAAUAUGCAGUAGAUAGGAAGAAAAAUACAGGAGAAUAGCACAUGACCAGUAUUGAAAGGACAUGGGAAAACUACUUAGAGGUCAAUGAAAUAUUAAUCUAGUUUGCAACUGAAAGACUCUAGAAUGAUAUCCUUAUGCUGAAAAUAAUCUGCCACUUAGUUGCUACCUUGGCAUCCCUCUGAAAUUAAAUACAUUAGCACUUAUUUUACUUAUAACAUUAAAUUAAUUGUUAAGAUAUGGAUUUAGAUAUAAAAUAACUGAAAGCUUUGAGACUUAUAUAUAGCAUCCAUUUAUUUUACCUGUAACAGAUUUACAUUUUGUUAAGUAGAUGAUUGAAAAGCAUUCUUCAUGCAGAUCUAAACUUUCCUUCACUAAAGGUCGAUAAGUGAAAAUAAGUGAUAAAUCAGUUGUACCUGUAAAUGUGCAUGAAUGGCAGAAACCUGACUGGCUUUACGGCCUAAGACCACAAGGAAGUUGUCCGCUUUUAUAUCAUGACGAAGGAAGUCCUCAAGUACAGUUACUCUACCUUCCCAAU
rnacentral:lncRNA from 1 species